UACGUAGGGUCCGAGCGUUGUCCGGAAUUAUUGGGCGUAAAGGGCUCGUAGGCGGUUCGUCACGUCGGGAGUGAAAACUCGGGGCUUAACUGUGGGCUUGCUUUCGAUACGGGCAGACUAGAGGUAUGCAGGGGAGAACGGAAUUCCUGGUGUAGCGGUGAAAUGCGCAGAUAAUCAGGAGGAACACCGGUGGCGAAGGCGGGUCUCUGGGCCGGAUACUGACGCUGGAGGAGCGAAAGCGUGGGGAGCGAACAGG
rnacentral:rRNA from 1 species